rnacentral:rRNA from 1 species
CCUACGGGAGGCAGCAGUGGGGAAUAUUGCACAAUGGGGGAAACCCUGAUGCAGCGACGUCGCGUGAGUGAUGAAGUAUCUCGGUAUGUAAAGCUCUAUCAGCAGGGAAGAAAAUGACGGUACCUGACUAAGAAGCCCCGGCUAACUACGUGACAGCAGCCGCGGUAAUACGUAGGGGGCAAGCGUUAUCCGGAUUUACUGGGUGUAAAGGGAGCGUAGACGGCGGUUCAAGCGAGCUGUGAAAGCCCGGGGCUCAACCCCGGGACUGCAUUUGGAACUGUGCUGCUAGAGUGUCGGAGAGGCAGGCGGAAGUCGUAGUGUAGCGGUGAAAUGCGUAGAUAUUAGGAGGAACACCAGUGGCGAAGGCGGCCUGCUGUACGAUUACUGACGUUGAGGCUCGAAGGCGUGGGUAGCGAACAGGAUUAGAUACCUCUGUAGUC